AGUAAGGUAAGCUAAUGUAACCAAGCUACUGGGCCCAUACCCCAAUCAUGAAGGUUAAAAUCCUUCCCUUGCUA
rnacentral:tRNA from 1 species